GAACAUAAGAGUUUGAUCCUGGCUCAGAUUGAACGCUGGCGGCAUGCUUUACACAUGCAAGUCGGACGGCAGCACAGAGAAGCUUGCUUCUCGGGUGGCGAGUGGCGAACGGGUGAGUAACAUAUCGGAACGUACCGAGUAGUGGGGGAUAACUGAUCGAAAGAUCAGCUAAUACCGCAUACGUCUUGAGAGAGAAAGCAGGGGACUUUCGGGCCUUGCGCUAUUCGAGCGGCCGAUAUCUGAUUAGCUAGUUGGUGGGGUAAAGGCCUACCAAGGCGACGAUCAGUAGCGGGUCUGAGAGGAUGAUCCGCCACACUGGGACUGAGACACGGCCCAGACUCCUACGGGAGGCAGCAGUGGGGAAUUUUGGACAAUGGGCGCAAGCCUGAUCCAGCCAUGCCGCGUGUCUGAAGAAGGCCUUCGGGUUGUAAAGGACUUUUGUCAGGGAAGAAAAGGCUGUUGCUAAUACCAGCGGCCGAUGACGGUACCUGAAGAAUA
rnacentral:rRNA from 1 species